GUGCUCACUUUAGCACAUAUGCUAAAAUUGGAACAAAUCAGAGAAGAAUCGCAUGGGCUCUGCACAAGGAUGACACGCAAAUUCUUAAAGCACUCCAUAUUAAA